rnacentral:rRNA from 1 species
AUUGAACGCUGGCGUCAGGCAUAACACAUGCAAGUCGAACGAGUUGCGGACGGGUGAGUAAUGUCUGGGAAACUGCCUGAUUGAGGGGGAUAACUACUGGCAACGUUAUCUAAUACCGCAUACCAUCGGAUGUGCCCAGAUGGGAUUAGCUAGUAGGUGGGGUAAUGGCUCACCUAGGCGACGAUCCCUAGCUGGUCUGAGAGGAUGACCAGCCACACUGGAACUGAAACACGGUCCAGAAUCCUACGGGAGGCAGAAGUGGGGAAGAAUGCACAAUGGGAGCAAGCCUGAUGCAGCCAUGCCGCGUGUGUGAAGAAGGCCUUCGGGUUGUAAAGCACUUUCAGCGGGGAGGCGGUACCCGCAGAAGAAGCACAGGCUAACUCCGUGCCAGCCGCCGCGGUAAUUC